UUCUGUCUAUGUGGUACUUAAUUGUCUUUAAAAUGCUUGCUUAUACAUCAUCUUAAAUAGUGAGGGUGAAAAUUGUCUCAGGUUUCUGUACUAGAGAAACACAUUCUAGUACACCAGUUUACCCAACAUUCAAAAGCUUGGUGUGGUUAAAAUAAAAAUCAUAUAGGUUUAGAUUGUUCUUGACAUCUCCCAGGAAUGACCAACCAGGAAAUAAUGCCACCGGAACUUCUGAAUGGCCCAGAGCGCCGGGAAUGCGCAGCAAAAGCAGGGGAAGAUUUCUCAGGAGGACUGUUGCAAAGCUUAUUCUUGCAGGGAGUCUUGGCCGUGCCCAAAAUUCCAAAAAAAGACUCUGUAAGCAUUAUCUGCCAGUCUCUCUUAGUUGGGCAUUUUCCCUUGGGUUUCACCGUCUUUUCUGCGAGUCUAUAAAGCAGGCUCUAAGAGAAAUUAAGGACACUGCCCAAGCUGACCCAACACAUCAGGCGAGGUUGGAAUCCACAUCCGACCCUCCUUGCUCCUGCACCCUGCCCUCCCAUCCCUACCACUUCCCUGUGGGCUUUGUUCCUCCCUUUUAACACGCUGAGACACAAGAAAGAGAAAUGAGCUUUUUUUAAAAAAAUGGAUUCCUUUAUACCCCAACUUUAAAUUCUCAACAAGGAUUCCAACCACUUUAAAUCCUUUUUACCAAGAAGCUCCUGGUUUUCCGUCAGUCUUCUUGGGAAAUGGAAUAAUAGCUAAGCUGCCUCUCUACGACGCCACAAGGCAGAGAUGAACUGAAAUGCUUUCACCACCAGGUGGCAAUUUUAAUGGAGCUGGAAUCAAGUUCAUGAUUGCCUCUUAGCGUUCCAAUGUCCUGGGCCCUUUGUUAAUUGAAUACGACUCAAGGCUAAAGGGAAUUU